rnacentral:rRNA from 1 species
GACGAACGCUGGCGGCGUGCCUAAUACAUGCAAGUCGAGCGAGUCUGCCUUGAAGAUCGGAGUGCUUGCACUCUGUGAAACAAGAUACAGGCUAGCGGCGGACGGGUGAGUAACACGUGGAUAACCUACCUAUAAGACUGGGAUAACUUCGGGAAACCGGAGCUAAUACCGGAUAAUAUAUUGAACCGCAUGGUUCAAUAGUGAAAGACGGUUUUGCUGUCACUUAUAGAUGGAUCCGCGCCGCAUUAGCUAGUUGGUAAGGUAACGGCUUACCAAGGCAACGAUGCGUAGCCGACCUGAGAGGGUGAUCGGCCACACUGGAACUGAGACACGGUCCAGACUCCUACGGGAGGCAGCAGUAGGGAAUCUUCCGCAAUGGGCGAAAGCCUGACGGAGCAACGCCGCGUGAGUGAUGAAGGUCUUCGGAUCGUAAAACUCUGUUAUUAGGGAAGAACAAAUGUGUAAGUAACUAUGCACGUCUUGACGGUACCUAAUCAGAAAGCCACGGCUAACUACGUG